AGGACGAACGCUGGCGGCGUGCUUAACACAUGCAAGUCGAGCGAACCUUCGGGUUAGCGGCGAACGGGUGAGUAACACGUGGGCAACCUGCCCCGAGCUCUGGGAUAACUCCGGGAAACCGGGGCUAAUACCGGAUAUGACCCGAGAAGACAUCUUCUCGGGUGGAAAGUUUUUUCGGCUCGGGAUGGGCCCGCGGCCUAUCAGCUUGUUGGUGGGGUAACGCCUACCAAGGCGACGACGGGUAGCC
rnacentral:rRNA from 1 species